UGUAUUUUCCAAGGUUUUCAAGAAAAAUCAUGGAAAAAACCAUGGAAGUCCAAGCUUUAAUGGCAGUUUUACUAGGAAUCCUUGGACAAUGUUGCAGUUGUCCAAGGUGAAAGGGUUUUUUUCUAACUUUUCCUUGGACAUAUUCCAUGGUUGUCUGAAAAAUUCCUAGGAAUCGCUUGGACAAUACCUGGGAAAGUAAAACAUAGUUUUUUUCAAGCUGGGAAAAUGAACACAUUCAGAUACUUAGAAAAUUUUUAGUUUGGAAUUCACUUGGAACGAAACACUUAGAAAAUUUUCAGCUUGGACAAAGGACUCAGGCAAUUUUUCUUUCAUUUUUUCAAUCAUCCUAAUGAUAAUGAAUAAUGAAUUAUUUACAUUUAUUGUCAUUAUGAUGUGCUAGAAGGAAAAGAAUAUUUAAUCCUUUUCAGAAGAUAUAAAUAGAUAUUUUAAAGAAAUAUGAUCAUUUAUUGAUUUUUGUAUUUAAUUAUUAAAUAUAAAGUUAUUAAAAAUAUCAAAUAUAAUUAUACAUGUACAUGCAUACAUAUGUAUAAUACAUACAUGUAACAUUUUUAAUACAGUAUGGAAAAUGUUCUGUUGGUUUCUAAGUUUCUAAAUGCAUUAGUAUCUUCCCUGCAGUUUGUAUCUUUAGACUUUUUUAUUUCUUGACAGCAUGUAAGCAACAGUUAAAUAAUUUUAGAAUGCUAUUAAACUUUAAUAUAAGAGUAUAUGAUUUUGUGCCAUAUAAAAUAGUACAUUCUCUGAAUAUUUGUAGACAUACAUUUAGAUUACACUUCACUCUGCCACUUAGUUUAUGUGUACAAUAAACACAUAAAUUAUAUAAUAAUUAUUGCCCAUUAUAUUAUAUAUAAUAUGCAAAAUUUGUUAAAUAUAAUAACCAGCUUGCCUGAUAAUUUCUUUAAGUCAGGAUAAAUAAAUACUGCAAACAGCAGAAUAUAACACACAGAUCAGAUAAGACUAAUGAUUACCAUCUGCCCUUCCUUCUAUCUAUGCAUGACUAAUCUGACCUCAUGGGGCAUUCUGGGAUACUGACCGGACUGUUCCAUGUGAUUAUUAAGGGAAUCUGAGCAUGAUACAUUUGUAAAAAAAUCAGUUUAGAAGGACAUUAAAACUUUGAUUUUUUACACACUUAUUAUUAUUUUCAAAUUCUACAUUUAUUUAUCAUUUGAUAUGUUUAUACAUUCAAUAAAUGUAAAAAUAUAAUGAUGGAUGUUAUGAUUUUUUUUUUUGAUAAUCCCUAUUUCACAUUAUGAUAGACCUGUCCAGACUGAAACCGUUGCAAAAUUUGAAAUCUCAGACAUUCAGUGCUAACCAUAAAGGAUCUAAGUGGCAUUCUAGCUAUUUUGGAGAUAUCAUCUUGUUUUUGAAUGUUGUGUACAUUAUUGUGGAAUUUUCAAAGAAAACAUUUAUCUAAAUGUGGAAUUGUUUGGUUGUUGUAAUUGAACUAAGAAUGACCUGAGACAGGAAGUUAUGCAAGAAUCAUAGUAAACAGUUUCAGGAACAGCUGUAUGGAUAUGUAAAGUACAGUGAUGACUUCUCAAAAGCCAGCAAGCUCCUGUUCAGAAAACUUUAUAGUGUUGAAGAAUACAGGGGCAGGUGUUUUACUGGCAACAGUACCAACACUAAAACCAAAAUCAAUUAAGGCCAGCAUUGGAGGACACAAUAUUACUGAAAGUCUUUCAUGAGUUGAUCAAGAGAAAAUGACCAUAAUAAUGUGACUUUUGAAGCUGUCCAGAAAUUGACAUUGACAUUGAUGUUACCAAGAGGAAUAAAAAUUGUUUUAAUAGUUAUAAUAUUUUAUGUUUUGUAUUCUACCAGUGUUACAUAUAGUGUUUAAAAGUGAUGGAGGGCGAGUUUAUCAAUAUGUCAGGGAUUAAGGCAACUAGUUAUAAGAAUGAUGAAAAUUCCAUAUCUCAAAGGGGCUAUUGUAAGAAAGCACAGAAAUUACAAGCAUCAAAGAUACAGCGUCUAUGGCUUUGCAAGAUCAUGAAGAUGUCCUAGUAUUUUCCCAGGUUUUCCAAGGUUUUUUUCACUUGAAGAACCUUGGACAAUUCCAAGGAAAAUAACAUUGGACUUCCAUGGAAAUGUCCAAGCUUUCCGAGGAUGUCUAUGUAAAUGUCCAAGCUUUCCAAGGAUGUCCAAUGAAAAAACCUUGGUCCCAAUACUCCAAGGUUUCCAAGGUUUAUGGCAUAUGUUCAUGGAAACCUUGUACAAGCUCCAAGGUUUCCAAGCAUUAGUCCAAGCAUUUGUCCUAGGAAAGACCCUGCCAUUUUUGUUCUUAAUUUACUCUUAUUGUAUUGAAAAAGUAUACCCAAUACUCCAAGGUUUUUUCCAUGAAAAAUUCCCUGAUAUUGUCCAAGGAAACCUUGGAAAUUGUACAGCCGG